rnacentral:rRNA from 1 species
AAUCCGGGGAUAUUUAUUUCGAGAUACGAAUGCGAAGCUUUUUCUUCGGAAUUAGCGAAGUGGUCGAUACCAUACUUCCAAGAAAAUCUUCUAAGCUUCAGGUUAAAAGUGGCCGUACCCUAAACGGACACACGUGGGUGGGAUGAGAAUUCUAAGGCGCAUGAGAGAACUCAGUUGAAGGAACUAGGCAAAAUGAUACCGUAACUUCGGGAGAAGGUAUGCCUUUUGUAUGUGAUGCCACUUGCUGGCUGAGCAGAAGAAGGUUGCAAUAAAAUGAUGGCUGCGACUGUUUACUAAAAACACAGCACUCUGCAAACUUGAAAAAGGAAGUAUAGGGUGUGACGCCUGCCCGGUGCCGGAAGGUUAAUUGAUGGGGUUAGCUUGCUUGCAAGCGAAGCUCUUGAUCGAAGCCCCGGUGAACGGCGGCCGUAACUAUAACGGUCCUAAGGUAGCGAAAUUCCUUGUCGGGUAAGUUCCGACCUGCACGAAUGGCGUAACGAUGGCCAUACUGUCUCCAACCGAGACUCAGUGAAAUUGAAAUUGCUGUGAAGAUGCAGUGUACGCGCGGCUAGACGGAAAGACCCCGUGCACCUUUACUACAGCUUUACACUGAACUUUGAAUNNAAUUGUGUAGGAUAGCUGGGAGCCUUUGAAGCUNAUAGCGCUAGCNUUNGUGGAGGCANNCUUGAAAUACCAGCCUNUUNNCUUUGGAGUUCUAACCCAGGACCGUNAUCCGGUUCGGANACAGUGUAUGGUGGGUAGUUUGACUGGGGCGGUCUCCUCCCAAAGAGUAACGGAGGAACGCGAUGGUACCCUCAGUACGGUUGGAAAUCGUACGAUGCGUGUAAAGGCAUAAGGGUGCUUGACUGCGAGACNGACAUGUCGAGCAGGUACGAAAGUAGGUCUUAGUGAUCCGGUGGUUCUGUAUGGAAGGGCCAUCGCUCAAUGGAUAAAAGGUACGCCGGGGAUAACAGGCUGAUACUGCCCAAGAGCUCAUAUCGACGGCAGUGUUUGGCACCUCGAUGUCGGCUCAUCACAUCCUGGGGGUGAAGCAGCUCCCAAGGGUAUGGCUGUUCGCCAUUUAAAGUGGUACGCGAGCUGGGUUUAGAACGUCGUGAGACAGUUCGGUCCCUAUCUACCGUGCGCGUUUGAUAUUUGAUGGAUGUUGCUCCUAGUACGAGAGGACCGGAGUGAACCUAUCCCUGGUGUUCCAGUUGUCUCACCAGAGGCAUUGCUGGGUAGCUAUAUAGGGUUGUGAUAACCGCUGAAAGCAUCUAAGCGGGAAGCCAUACCAAAGAUUAGAUAUCACUGGACCUU